GCGUUGGUGGUUUAGUGGUAAAAUUCAUCGUUGCCAAGAGUUGCAUCUCCUCAAGGAGCACCUCCGUGAGGAGGCCUCCCCGGAGGUCAACACCAAGUCUCGAUGAGCCCCGGGUUCGAUUCCCGGCCGACGCA
rnacentral:tRNA from 1 species